AGUCAGAGCCCGUUAAUGGGUGAUGGCGUGCCUUUUGUAGAAUGAACCGGCGAGUUACGAUUUGAUGCAAGGUUAAGCAGUAAAUGUGGAGCCGUAGCGAAAGCGAGUCUGAAUAGGGCGUUUAGUAUUUGGUCGUAGACCCGAAACCAGGUGAUCUACCCUUGGUCAGGUUGAAGUUCAGGUAACACUGAAUGGAGGACCGAACCGACUUACGUUGAAAAGUGAGCGGAUGAACUGAGGGUAGCGGAGAAAUUCCAAUCGAACCUGGAGAUAGCUGGUUCUCUCCGAAAUAGCUUUAGGGCUAGCCUCAAGUGAUGAUUAUUGGAGGUAGAGCACUGUUUGGACGAGGGGCCCCUCUCGGGUUACCGAAUUCAGACAAACUCCGAAUGCCAAUUAAUUUAACUUGGGAGUC
rnacentral:rRNA from 1 species